CAAACGGCCCUUUUCAGGGCCAUCAAAUCUCUCAAAUGUAUGGAAU
rfam:Apis mellifera strain DH4 linkage group 1, whole genome shotgun sequence.